rnacentral:rRNA from 1 species
GCUUACGGCCAUACCACCCUGAACACGCCCGAUCUCGUCUCCAGGAAGCUAAGCAGGGUCGGGCCUGUUAGUACUUGGAUGGGAGACCGCCUGGGAAUACCAGGUGCUGUAAGCU